GAUGAACGCUGGCGGCGUGCCUAAUACAUGCAAGUCGAGCGAACGGACGAGAAGCUUGCUUCUCUGAUGUUAGCGGCGGACGGGUGAGUAACAUGUGGAUAACCUACCUAUAAGACUGGGAUAACUUCGGGAAACCGGAGCUAAUACCGGAUAAUAUUUUGAACCGCAUGGUUCAAAAGUGAAAGACGGUCUUGCUGUCACUUAUAGAUGGAUCCGCGCUGCAUUAGCUAGUUGGUAAGGUAACGGCUUACCAAGGCAACGAUGCAUAGCCGACCUGAGAGGGUGAUCGGCCACACUGGAACUGAGACACGGUCCAGACUCCUACGGGAGGCAGCAGUAGGGAAUCUUCCGCAGUGGGCGAAAGCCUGACGGAGCAACGCCGCGUGAGUGAUGAAGGUCUUCGGAUCGUAAAACUCUGUUAUUAGGGAAGAACAUAUGUGUAAGUAACUGUGCACAUCUUGACGGUACCUAAUCAGAAAGCCACGGCUAACUACGU
rnacentral:rRNA from 1 species